AUUGAACGCUGGCGGCAGGCCUAACACAUGCAAGUCGAGCGGAUGAAGGGAGCUUGCUCCUGGAUUCAGCGGCGGACGGGUGAGUAAUGCCUAGGAAUCUGCCUGGUAGUGGGGGAUAACGUCCGGAAACGGGCGCUAAUACCGCAUACGUCCUGAGGGAGAAAGUGGGGGAUCUUCGGACCUCACGCUAUCAGAUGAGCCUAGGUCGGAUUAGCUAGUUGGUGGGGUAAAGGCCUACCAAGGCGACGAUCCGUAACUGGUCUGAGAGGAUGAUCAGUCACACUGGAACUGAGACACGGUCCAGACUCCUACGGGAGGCAGCAGUGGGGAAUAUUGGACAAUGGGCGAAAGCCUGAUCCAGCCACGCCGCGUGUGUGAAGAAGGUCUUCGGAUUGUAAAGCACUUUAAGUUGGGAGGAAGGGCAGUAAGUUAAUACCUUGCCGCUUUGACGUUACCAACAGAAUAAGCACCGGCUAACUUCGUG
rnacentral:rRNA from 1 species